rnacentral:rRNA from 1 species
AUUGAACGCUAGCGGGAUGCUUUACACAUGCAAGUCGAACGGCAGCGCGGACUUCGGUCUGGCGGCGAGUGGCGAACGGGUGAGUAAUGUAUCGGAACGUGCCCAGUAGCGGGGGAUAACUACGCGAAAGCGUAGCUAAUACCGCAUACGCCCUACGGGGGAAAGCAGGGGAUCGUAAGACCUUGCACUAUUGGAGCGGCCGAUAUCGGAUUAGCUAGUUGGUGAGGUAACGGCUCACCAAGGCGACGAUCCGUAGCUGGUUUGAGAGGAUGACCAGCCACACUGGGACUGAGACACGGCCCAGACUCCUACGGGAGGCAGCAGUGGGGAAUUUUGGACAAUGGGGGCAACCCUGAUCCAGCCAUCCCGCGUGUGCGAUGAAGGCCUUCGGGUUGUAAAGCACUUUUGGCAGGAAAGAAACGUCGCGGGCUAAUACCCCGUGGAACUGACGGUACCUGCAGAAUAAGCACCGGCUAACUACGUG